UUGACAUCAACAAAAAAAUCCGGAUUUGCCGGUCAUGGAAUUUUAAAAACGCCCUAAAUAAUUUAAAAUAAUGACUGACGAUGGCUAAAUCUACGUUACAGGUUCCUUCUGUACUCAACCCUGCCUUGACUGUUGCGUGUGUGCCGUCCGAUGUUAAUUUGCUACGCCCGUAAUUACUCAGUGGAAGACUGCGUGCGUUUUCUAUCGGUGCCCCGCAAAUUCCAAGUUCACCGGCCGAUCCGAUUUAUGGAAAGGCCUAUAUCGCUCCAAGUUUCUCAUCAUGCACGGAGAUGAUUUCAACAUCGAUUCCAUAGUUCGAAGCGUCUUGAAGAAAGG